rnacentral:tRNA from 1 species
GGAGAGGUGGCUGAGUGGUUGAAAGCGCCAGAUUGCUAAUCUGUUGUAUGUGUGAAUCAUACCGAGGGUUCGAAUCCCUUCCUCUCCU